rnacentral:lncRNA from 1 species
GUUUAGAAAUUUAUUUGGUCAAAGUUAAAGAAAUAUCAGUGAAACAGCCUCAGGAGGUCUUGAGAACGUGUGUCAAAGGUCGUCGGGCUACAGGUUGGUUUUACACGUUUUAGGCAGACAUAAGAUAUCAAUCAAUACGUGUAAGCUGCACAUUGCUUUGAUAUGAAAAGGCAGGACAGCCCGAAGGAGGGGGGAUGUUGGGGACUUCCAGGUCCUAGGUGGAUUCAAAGAUUUCAUAGGUGGUUGAAAGAGUUUAUCUAAUGACCUGUAAUCAACACAAGGGAGUUUCUGGGUUUAGAAAAAGGGUUUUGGAGCCAAGGUUGCAUCAUGCAGAUGAAGCCUCCAGGUAGCAGGCUUCAGAGAGAAUAGAUUGUAAUUGUUUCUUAGCAGACUUAAAAGGUGCCAAACUCUUAGUUAAAUCUCUCUGGGUCAGGAAAGAGACUUAAAAAGGAGUCUCUACAGAAUGUAGAUUUUUCCCACAAGAACCAGCUUUGCAGAGGCAUUUUUAAAUACAUUAAAUAACAAUAUCUUGGGGAAAAUACUUUGAUUUCUCUUAGGACGUGGUAUCUGUCACAUUGGUAUCUUAUUGCUAUAAAGAGUUUUCUUUGUCAGUCUCAAGGUCUCUGUCUUCAUAUUAAAAGCUGGUCAGUUGUGCCUGAAUUUUAAAGGGAAGAGGGUAAGUUAAGGCAUAUCCAAUCAUCCGUUCCGAUCAUGGGCUGCCUUGUAUUUCAGGUUGAUUUUGGUGUGUGCUUGGCUGAGAGGAGGAGUUCAUUCAGUUGGUUAGGGAGCUUAGAGUUUCAUUUUUGGUUUACACACCUAUGUCCAGGUAAGAGGGCCCCACACAGGAGGGCUUGCUCAGAACCUGGCUUGCAGGGCUGCUUAUGGACCUUCUAUGUCUCCUGUUGUCAUGCACAAGGAAGGACACAGCCAAUGACAACCCUCAGCCAUCCGAGGAGAAGCUGUGUCUGCAGAGGACGGUCAUGAGCUGUGAGUCUAGAGACCUGUGAUUGUCUUCAGGGGCCUGUGGUCCUCGGCUUUCAUAGGAGUUGUGGGGGCACUGGCUCAAAUAGCAUCCACCAGGAUUCUAAUCAGAAUAUCUCAUUCACAGAAGGCAGUGGGUGAUAUGACAGCACAGAGGGACUCUGUGGGUCCAGCUGCAUGGAGCACUCUGGGAGAGUCACUGGCACCUGUGCUAGACAGAGCUUCAUUCAACUUCUGGAGCACACGGAUUUAGAUCUCUUUACAUCAUUUUGAAAGACCACUUAUCAUUCUGAAGGAAACCACUGUAAUUAACUAAGGUGCUGUCAUCUAUAUGAUCUCAGUAUUUUAAAAAUCAGCUUCCAGCCCAUGUGGUGGUUCAUGCUUGUAAUACCAGCAGUUGAAGAGGCUUAAAUGAGAGGAUUCCUGGAGCCCAGGAGUUCAAAAGCAACCUGGGCAACCUAGCAAGACCCAGUCUCUAUCAAAAGUUAAAAAAAAAAAGUGGGCAUGGUGAUGUGCACCUGUUGUCCUAGCUAUUUUGGAGGCCAAGGUGGAAGGAUCGCUUGAGCUUGGGAGGCUGAGGCUGCAGUGAGCAGUGAUUGCACCACUGCAUUCCAGCCUGGGCAACAAAGCAAGACCCUAUCUCAAAAAAUAUAUAAUAAAAAUGAAAAUCAGUUCUCAUUGAUUUCUAUGUAAAUAUGCACAGAUGAUGUCCAUAUAGACAUAAAUAAUAAUAUAUCUGAC